rnacentral:rRNA from 1 species
AUUGAACACUGGCGGCAUGCUUUACACAUGCAAGUCGAACGGUAACAGGCCGCAAGGUGCUGACGAGUGGCGAACGGGUGAGUAAUGCAUCGGAACGUGCCCAGUCGUGGGGGAUAACUACUCGAAAGAGUAGCUAAUACCGCAUACGAUCUAUGGAUGAAAGCGGGGGACCGUAGGGCCUCGCGCGAUUGGAGCGGCCGAUGUCAGAUUAGGUAGUUGGUGGGGUAAAGGCUCACCAAGCCAACGAUCUGUAGCUGGUCUGAGAGGACGACCAGCCACACUGGGACUGAGACACGGCCCAGACUCCUACGGGAGGCAGCAGUGGGGAAUUUUGGACAAUGGGCGCAAGCCUGAUCCAGCAAUGCCGCGUGCAGGAAGAAGGCCUUCGGGUUGUAAACUGCUUUUGUACGGAACGAAACGGCUCUGGUUAAUACCCGGGGCUAAUGACGGUACCGUAAGAAUAAGCACCGGCUAACUACGUG